AGCCAGAAUACGCACCUGCUCACUUCUCUUGGGGCACCGGCUGCGGUCUCCUGGACGGCCUUAGAGGUAACGUUGCAAAGGGGACUUUCCCCUUUUGGACGAUCCGCUGUCCUGAAUUCACAAGCGAUCAUCGAGCAUGAGGGUGCACAUUGUCCCCUCCCUCCGCCGAGGUUUGCAGCAGCUUCCCAACGCAAGGGGGUCCCUGGGCCCAAGGGGCCCAAGAAUGGGCACAGCCUUUACUAUCCUCCUCCGCCCGCACAGAACCCUCCUCCCAAGGCCGUGCUGCCUGGAGGAGCCAGGCUGGCCACUCGGCGCUCUGUAGAGGGACACAUUUGUACUGUCAAGGACAAGAGCCACUGGCAGCCCGGCCCACAGCUGACCCCUCUGCAUCAUCAGGGAGAGAAGUGGUCUUUAAAAGGCCCUGUGGGGGUUGAGUCUCUGAGCCAGGACUGUUGGUGAGGUCACUGCUUGGCCGGGCUCCACCCGGAGAUCGCGUGGUUUCCUCUGCUCUCCAGGCCUGCCUGGAAGGCUGCAGGGAGGGUCUGGGUUUCUCUUGCUGCCCACACCUGGGCAGGAGCCCAGCCAAGCAGAGAAGGGUCCCCAGGGAGACUCCUUCCCGACCAGCCCCAUCCCAGCCCGACACCAUGUGACUCCCAGGAGCUGGCUGACACAGAGCAGGAGACACCCACAGGCUCUGGGCGGCAGGAGCCCACAGCCAGCCAGGACAGCCCUGAGACCCAGGGUCCAAGCAGGCAAGGAUUCGGAACGGUGAGCACAAGGACAGCACUGGUCAGGUGGGGGUUGGGGGCCCGCCCAGAAGCUUGGCAUCUUUCUCCUGUCUGAGCUCUUCUGCUGACCUAACGGGGGAAGGCACAGUGGCCAGCAGUGGCCUGACUGUCCAGAGAGCGUCUGUCCAGCCAUACUUCACCCUCUGAUUUGGGCUGAGCCGCCUGGCCUGUGGCCAGCUCGUGGCCACUUUCCCUGUGUCGCAUGCUACUCUGUCAG
rnacentral:lncRNA from 1 species